GUUAGGAAUAUUGGACAAUGGGCGCAAGCCUGAUCCAGCCAUGCCGCGUGAACGAUGAAGGCCUUCGGGUUGUAAAGUUCUUUAGCCGAUGAUUAUAAUGACUGUAGUCGGAAAAUAAGCCCCGGCUAACUUCGUGCCAGCAGCCGCGGUAAUACGAAGGGGGCGAGCGUUAUUCGGAAUCACUGGGCGUAAAGCGUGCGUAGGCGGUCUCGUAGGUUAGGAGUGAAAGCCCAGGGCUCAACCUUGGAAUUGCUCUUAAUACUGCAAGGCUAGAAUCUCAGAUAGGAUAGCGGAAUUUCCAGUGUAGCAGUGAAAUGCGUAGAUAUUGGAAGGAACACCAGUGGCGUAAGCGGAUAUCUGGACGAGUAUUGACGCUGAGGCACGAAAGCGUGGGGAUCAAACAGGAUUAGAAACCCCUGUAGUCC
rnacentral:rRNA from 1 species